GGAAUGGUGAGCCAAUUAGUGGGAACAGCCAUAGCAUCUGCUUUUCAUGCAGAAGGUCCCAGGUUCAAUCCCCGGCAUCUCCA